UCAACUGGUUGUUGGGUCUUCACUGACUCAGUAACGAAGCUAACGCGUGAAGUUGACCGCCUGGGGAGUACGGCCGCAAGGUUGAAACUCAAAGGAGUUGACGGGGACCCGCACAAGCGGUGGAUGAUGUGGUUUAAUUCGAUGCAACGCGAAAAACCUUACCCACCUUUGACAUGUACGGAAUCCUUUAGAGAUAGAGGAGUGCUCGAAAGAGAGCCGUAACACAGGUGCUGCAUGGCUGUCGUCAGCUCGUGUCGUGAGAUGUCGGGUUAAGUCCCGCAACGAGCGCAACCCUUGCCAUUAGUUGCUACGAAAGGGCACUCUAAUGGGACUGCCGGUGACAAACCGGAGGAAGGUGGGGAUGACGUCAAGUCCUCAUGGCCCUUAUAGGUGGGGCUACACACGUCAUACAAUGGCUGGUACAGAGGGUUGCCAACCCGCGAGGGGGAGCCAAUCCCACAAAGCCAGUCGUAGUCCAGAUCGCAGUCUGCAACUCGACUGCGUGAAGUCGGAAUCGCUAGUAAUCGCGGAUCAGAAUGUCGCGGUGAAUACGUUCCCGGGUCUUGUACACACCGCCCGUCACACCAUGGGAGCGGGUUCUGCCAGAAGUAGUUAGCCUAACCGCAAGGAGGGCGAUUACCACGGCAGGG
rnacentral:rRNA from 1 species